rnacentral:rRNA from 1 species
CAAAGGGAGCAAUCCCGGCCACGGAUGGGCAUGCGGCGCAUUAGCUAGUCGGCGGGGUAACGGCCCACCGAGGCGACGAUGCGUAGGGGUUCUGAGAGGAAGGCCCCCCACACUGGUACUGAGACACGGACCAGACUCCUACGGGAGGCAGCAGUGAGGAAUAUUGGUCAAUGGGCGCGAGCCUGAACCAGCCAAGUCGCGUGAGGGAGGACGGCCCUACGGGUUGUAAACCUCUUUUGCCGGGGAGCAACGGGCGUCACGUGUGGCGCCACUGAGAGUACCCGGAGAAAAAGCAUCGGCUAACUCCGUGCCAGCAGCCGCGGUAAUACGGAGGAUGCGAGCGUUAUCCGGAUUUAUUGGGUUUAAAGGGUGCGUAGGCGGAUCGUUAAGUCAGUGGUCAAAUUGAGGGGCUCAACCCCUUCCCGCCAUUGAAACUGGCGAUCUUGAGUGGAAGAGAAGUAUGCGGAAUGCGUGGUGUAGCGGUGAAAUGCAUAGAUAUCACGCAGAACCCCGAUUGCGAAGGCAGCAUGCCGGCUUCCGACUGACGCUGAAGCACGAAAGCGUGGGGAUCGAACAGGAUUAGAUACCCUGGUAGUCCACGCGGUAAACGAUGAGCGCUAGGUGUCCGGGGGGAAUGGCCCCUG